rnacentral:snRNA from 1 species
GGAUGUGAGGGCGAUCUGGCUGUGACAUCUGUCACCCCACUGAUCACCAGAUUUGGCUGAUCUGGCUGGCUAGGCGGGUGUCCCCUUCUUCCCUCACCGCUCCAUGUGCAUCCCUCCCGAAGCUGCUCACUAGGUCAAAGAGAACAGCCUUCCCUGAAUAGAGACGGACCAGUCUUUGGUCAAAGAUAUACGAAUAGCUGCACUCCCCUGCUAGAACCUCCAAAAAAACAAGCUCUCCAGAGCUGGACGGUAGCCAGCAGGUUAAGCGCACAUGGCACAAAGCGCAAGGGCCGGCGGCGUAAGCAUCCCAGUUCAAGCCCCCAGCU